GACGAACGCUGGCGGCGUGCUUAACACAUGCAAGUCGAACGCUGAAGCUCAGCUUGCUGGGUGGAUGAGUGGCGAACGGGUGAGUAACACGUGAGUAACCUGCCCCCUUCUUCUGGAUAACCGCAUGAAAGUGUGGCUAAUACGGGAUAUUCUGGGUCUGUCGCAUGGCGGGUCUGGGAAAGAUGCGCCUUUGGGUGUUUUUGGUGGGGGAUGGGCUCGCGGCCUAUCAGCUUGUUGGUGGGGUGAUGGCCUACCAAGGCGGUGACGGGUAGCCGGCCUGAGAGGGUGGACGGUCACACUGGGACUGAGACACGGCCCAGACUCCUACGGGAGGCAGCAGUGGGGAAUAUUGCACAAUGGGCGCAAGCCUGAUGCAGCGACGCCGCGUGAGGGAUGGAGGCCUUCGGGUUGUAAACCUCUUUCGCCAGUGAAGCAGGCCUGUCCCUUGUGGGUGGGUUGACGGUAGCUGGAUAAGAAGCGCCGGCUAACUACGUGCCAGCAGCCGCGGUAAUACGUAGGGCGCGAGCGUUGUCCGGAAUUAUUGGGCGUAAAGAGCUCGUAGGCGGCUGGUCGCGUCUGUCGUGAAAUCCUCUGGCUUAACUGGGGGCUUGCGGUGGGUACGGGCCGGCUUGAGUGCGGUAGGGGAGACUGGAACUCCUGGUGUAGCGGUGGAAUGCGCAGAUAUCAGGAAGAACACCGGUGGCGAAGGCGGGUCUCUGGGCCGUUACUGACGCUGAGGAGCGAAAGCGUGGGGAGCGAACAGG
rnacentral:rRNA from 1 species